rnacentral:rRNA from 1 species
GACGAACGCUGGCGGCGUGCUUAACACAUGCAAGUCGAACGGGCCCGCUCUCUUUUUUGGGGGUGGGUUGAGUGGCGACCGGGUGAGUAUCCCGUGAGUAACCUGCCCCCUGCUCCUGGAUAACUGCUUGAAAGGGCGGCUAAUACGGGGUGUGCCGGCUGGUCCGCAUGGGCCUGGUCGGGAUAGUUUCAUCUUCGGGUGUUUCGGUGGGGGAUGGGCUCGGGGCCUAUCAGCUUGUUGGUGGGGUGAUGGCCCACGAAGGCGGUGGCGGGUAGCCGGCAUGAGAGGGUGGGCGGCCACACUGGGACUGAGACACGGCGCAGACGCGUGAGGGAGGAAGCAGGGGGGGGUAUGGCACAGUGGGAGGAAGCCUGAUGCAGCGACGGCGCGUGAGGGAUGGAGGCCUUCGGGUAGUGAACCUCUUUCUCCGGUGGUGAAGGCCCUGACCGUUGCGGCGGGGUUGACGGUAGCCGGGGAUGAAGCGCCGGCUAACUACGUG